rnacentral:rRNA from 1 species
UACAGAGGGGGCAAGCGUUGUUCGGAAUUACUGGGCGUAAAGGGCGCGUAGGCGGCCUUCUAAGUCGAACGUGAAAUCCCCGGGCUCAACCCGGGAACUGCGUCCGAGACUGGAAGGCUCGAAUCCGGGAGAGGGAUGUGGAAUUCCAGGUGUAGCGGUGAAAUGCGUAGAUAUCUGGAGGAACAUCGGUGGCGAAGGCGGCGAUCCUGGACCGGUAUUGACGCUGAGGCGCGAAAGCCAGGGAGCAAGCGGGAUUAAGAAACCCCGAGUACAGUCCGAGAC